UUUAAUUCUGGAAAAAGGGCAUAGCAGAAUACCAGUAUACUAUGAGCAACCUACAAACAUUAUUGGGGUUAUUCUGGUACUUUACGGACCUUAUAUUUCCGCAUUUCUGGUGGAUAUUGCUGAUUCCUACAUGUCUUAUUUUUGGAUAUCAAUUGGAUUUACUAUACUUUUGUGUGUAAUGAUGUCAUCCAACACUGCAGAACUAGUAGGAUUUAGAACUGUAGUUAUAAAAGCUGGUAUAGGUGGGAAGAAUGAACUAGGGAAUUUAUUGUUUCCAAAGAGGAGAAUGUUCUCAGAAUAAUCCAGUAAUUUAUUGUUUUUCUCUUCGUGGAGGGGAGGGGCUUGAGGUUUGGAUAUGAUGUUAUUGAUUAUAGCCUCCUCUAGGCUAGUGUUACCUGAUACAAGGAAGUUGAUUUGAUAAGAGGGUAGUUCUUCUAGCUUUUUCUGCACAAAGAUACCUGAGUGAUGUAUAAAAUGAAACAAGAUCAACUAGGACUGUAGCUUUCAGAAUACCAGUAUACUAUGAGCAACCUACAAACAUUAUUGGGGUUAUUCUGGUACUUUACGGACCUUAUAUUUCCGCAUUUCUGGUGGAUAUUGCUGAUUCCUACAUGUCUUAUUUUUGGAUAUCAAUUGGAUUUACUAUACUUUUGUGUGUAAUGAUGUCAUCCAACACUGCAGAACUAGUAGGAUUUAGAACUGUAGUUAUAAAAGUUGGUAUAGGUGGGAAGAAUGAACUAGGGAAUUUAUUGUUUCCAAAGAGGAGAAUGUUCUCAGAAUAAUCCAGUAAUU
rnacentral:lncRNA from 1 species